rnacentral:snRNA from 1 species
AUACAAAAAAGAACAAGAACAAACACUUAUUACACAAAUGUAAGUGACUUCCAUUGCACUUUGGAGGGGUGCUUUCCUAAGGUCUGCCCAAGUGGCAGAGCCUACGUCAUAAUUUGUGGUAGUGGGGGCCUGCGUUCGCGCGGCCCCUUU